AUUGAACGCUGGCGGCAUCCCUUACACAUGCAAGUCGAACGGCAGCACGGGUGCUUGCACCUGGUGGCGAGUGGCGAACGGGUGAGUAAUACAUCGGAACAUGUCCUGUAGUGGGGGAUAGCCCGGCGAAAGCCGGAUUAAUACCGCAUACGAUCUACGGAUGAAAGCGGGGGACCUUCGGGCCUCGCGCUAUAGGGUUGGCCGCUGGCUGAUUAGCUAGUUGGUGGGGUAAAGGCCUACCAAGGCGACGAUCAGUAGCUGGUCUGAGAGGACGACCAGCCACACUGGGACUGAGACACGGCCCAGACUCCUACGGGAGGCAGCAGUGGGGAAUUUUGGACAAUGGGCGAAAGCCUGAUCCAGCAAUGCCGCGUGUGUGAAGAAGGCCUUCGGGUUGUAAAGCACUUUUGUCCGGAAAGAAAUCCUUGGCCCUAAUACGGUCGGGGGAUGACGGUACCGGAAGAAUAAGCACCGGCUAACUACGUG
rnacentral:rRNA from 1 species